ensembl:lncRNA
UAGAUUUACUAUUACUUUCAGAAUACUACCUAAUUUAAAAUGACAGAUCUACAAACUUCAUUUCACUCUUCUACUCCAAAACAAUAGAGUGUACACACUGUUAGAAUCAUUUUAACUUGAUGACAUCACUUCUUAUGUUCUUAUAGAUGUCUUAAAAAUGGAUAACUCUUUUUUCUCUCUGGUGAAUGUUUUGAGUCUGUGUAUAAUGCUGAGGAUGACCCAGAGUGUAUGUGUUUAGUCACUGAACAGUGUGAAUGAGGCUGUAGGUGGUACUGUGGAAACAAAAUCAAACAAGUGUGUUUCAAGAUGCUGCUUCUUGGGUUGUUUCUCCCAAACAGAUUAGGUUCAAAGGAAAAAAGAAAGCGAUUUCAUCUGAAAUGCAUAGCCUUGACCUAUCCAGGGGCAGCGAGAGCAGACUCUCAUUUCAUGUGGCACCUAAAGCCAUGUGAGGAUUGAGAUGCAUUAUUUUUUCCUCUGACCCAUUCUCAGAAUUUUUUUUUUUUUUUUUGAGAAAGGAAGAAGAGACAGAUUGCAUUAUAAGUGAAGAUCUGGGGAGAUGUUUCAGUUCAUGAUCAGCCAGCUAUCCCUUUGUCUCUUGGAAUAGAAAAAUGUGCUGGGAAGAAGUCUACAAACAGCAGUCACCUCCUGAAGCGAGGAAGGAUGGGCAUGUGAUCUCACUAAUCCAGAUUUCGCCUGGGUUUCUGCCCUUCUCUGAGUGGCCAGUUGUUUUCUGGAAGGUGAGUCCCAUCACUAACCCCAGAGCAGUAAUAAUUCUUGCCGGUGAAGGGCCGAGGCUUAGGAAUGUGGUACUUAGGAGGGGAAAUUGCACAGGCAGCUUCUGGGAGACUUUUCCUUCUCCAUCUGCAAGGAGACCUGACAGACAGGAGCUUCUUCUUUCUGCCUCUAGGUGUUGUCAUAAGGCGGUGGCACCUGUAGCCCCAUCAGAGGACGAGGCUGAUAGACUGGGGUGGUCAUGACCUGGUUGAGAUCAUGGUGCUGCUAGUCAUCCCUGCAGAUGGCCCACUUCUCUCCAAACACACACUAAGUUCUCUGAAACUCUUAGGCCAUGGUAUACUGGUGACCGCCUCCCUCUGAGAUGAAAAAUUAAGUGAUGGGCUGGGUGGCUGAUGACAACUGAGCUGAAGAAGUGUCUGCCAAAGGGGAGAGCCUGAACUCCCAAGUUUGUCAGAGAAAAGGAUUUUCCCUGAUCCACUGUGGGUUAGGGCUUCCCAGGUGGCGCUGGUGGUAAAGAAUCUUCCUGCCAGUGCAGGAGAUGCAAGAGACAUGGAUUCGAUUCCUGGAUCAGGAAGAUCCCCUGGAGUAGGAUAUGGAAGAAAACUCCAAUAUUCUUGCCUGGAAAUCCCAUGGGCAGAGGAUUCUGGCGGGCUACAGUCAGACAUGACUAAGCUCUUUGAGCACUAUUGUGGGUUAAGUCCUGUCUAACAGGCUACUUGGGGAAGUAGAGGGGCUUCAGUGCAGGGUACCUAGAGGCAGACUACUAGAGUCCCAGGAGUAAGGUGAGCUGGAGCAAGAUUAUCACUGGCAUAUAGGUAAGCACAGAUGAAAAUUCUCCAUGAAGCAGGGGAAAGUUGUCCAAACCCCACAAAAGCAUACAAAAAGACUGCAUCACCUUUAAACAUCACUCAGACUCAAAAUGUAAGGCCACUAAGACAGCGUCAGGCAGUCAGGAACUUUCCUGUUUCCCUAAUCUUUCUUCCCUACAACCUCAGAGGGGUCUGAGACAGUAGCUAGAAAGAGAGAGAAAACUGGUAAUGCCUUUCUCCCCUGGAACAUGAUUCAACUGGGUGGAGGUAGGGGGAAGAGAAACAAUUGUAAUUUGAAUGAAGUUGAAAGCUUUGAUUAAUGCCUGAGUGUGAACUUUCUAAUAUCUCAUCUGAAGCUUUGUCCCAUGGAGAGAUAAUAGGAUUUUCUAAUAGUGGUGCAAUAUUAUACAUAAUUUUGAGAAAAUGGAAAUAAAUAUUCCUAAGGAACUCUUUUUUUUCUCCUGCAAUGUAAUGUUGACAAUUAACACUUCCUUAAUCUGCCAUAUAGUGUAUAUUAAUUCACCAGAAUAAUUUCCAUCUUCUUCAAACUUUCAGUCAAUUGUUGACCAUUGGAUUUCGUGAUCCUCAGCAUUCCUUUGCUCACCAUACCAUUAUCAUAAGCCAUUUUUUGAAAGUUAGUUUCAAGGGGAAGCUUUUGGUUUGAGGUAGAGACAAUGAGGAAUGGUCCAUUGUAAAUUGUAUUAUGUCAGACCAAACAUUCCCUCGCCUGAUGACCAAAUGUUUUAUAACAAAACCAAUAAACUGUGAUGUCUUUUUGCAGUAACCUUAUCUUUUGAUGGUUCCUUUCUCAUCAGUCCUUGAGUAUUUAUUUGAUAGAGUCUUUGGAGAAACUUAGGCCCUCCUCACUUCUUGUCCAGCCAGAUCUCAAGACAGAGAUAAGCAGAACCACUUCUUUGUUAAAGUUUUUGGGCAGCGAGGGAGCAGGUACCUAGUUGUCAGUGUCUGACUAUUUCAAAUGAUAUAGAAAUUACUUUGGCUUAUCUCCUUCUUCCAUUCUCUUCUCUUCUUUCUGUUCAUGCAUCCAGUUCAUAAUUGGCUGUAUAAAUUAAAUACUUCAUAAUGAACCUAAUUCUUAUCUUCUCUAAAUGCAGUUUCAUUAACAUUAAAGAUUACUGGAGUAGUCUGUCAUGUCAAAUAAUUGAACUGAUUCAAAAACAUACUAAUUACCAUAGGAAUUGUGAUUCUAAGUUAAGCGCUGUGAAACAGGGGCACAGAAUCUGGAGAAAAGUGACAGAGCAAAUUAGAGCAUGAUGUCAGGGAGUGCAGGUGAGCCUGGAGCAACUUGUGUCGGGAAGGAAGGAAGCAAUAGAGCCACAGAGUUCUGUUCCAGGAGAAGCCAGAGAGACUGCCAUAAAUGAGGGUUAUGUGGAAGUUGCAAUUGUAUGCUUAUCUCCCUCUUCCUACGCAACCAGUCAACAUAUCCAUCUGCCUGGUGAAUCAGGAAAUGUUGGGGUACAAAGUUUGAGUUAUGCAAGAUGAGUUUCAGAGAUCCAUUGUUGAUGAUAGUAAAGAGUACUAUAUUGAAUACUUGAAAUUUGUUAAGAGAAGAGAUCUUAAAUCUUCUCAACACACACAUACAAUCGUAAUUGUGUAAAAGUGUUAGAGAAGUUAUUUAGCUUGAUCUCUUCACCAUCUGUGCAUACAUCAAGUUGUCCACAUUAAAUACACACAACUUUUAUAUGUCAACAAAUAACAUAGUUUAAAAAAGUCAAGUCUCUAACAAAUGGUAAAGUAAAUAAAACUAUUCAGCUUUAUUAACCCACCAUUUCUCAAACUUAUUUGAUCCUGGAAUACCCUGUGCUCUCCUCAGUACUCCUUUUUACCUCCUGUUGAAUAGUGUUCGAUGAAUUCUAGGUUGGGAAAAGUGAAAGUGUUAGUUGCUCAGCCAUGUCCACCUCUUUGUGACCCCAUGGACUUAGUUUUCCAGGCUCCCCUGUCCAUGGAAUCCUUCAGGCAAGAAUGCUGGAGUGGGUUGCCAUUCCCUUCUCCAGGGGAUCUUCCUGACCCAGGGAUUGAACCUAGGUCUCCAGCAUUGCAGGCAGAUUCUUUACCAUCUGAGCCACCAGGGAAAAGCUGUUAUUCUGUGACAUUAAAAAUAGGCAAAGCUAUAACCUGCUGUUUGGGUUAUAACAUGGAUAUGGAAAGACUCUACCUUUUAGAGUCAGACAGGGAGAAUUCCAUGCUGGGUCUUUAAUAGCUGUGUAACCUUGAUCCAGUUCUUCUCUGAGUCUCAGUUUUGUUGUUUGUGAAAUGAAAUGCAUGGCAGGAGAAUAUUGACUUUGCAAUGCUGUUUUUAAAAGUUAGAGGUAUCUGUCAAGCAUCUAGUAUAUGUUUGACAUGUGUGUGCUGUUGUGCAAAAGUGGUUACUGUCAUGAUUGGCUUGUAGCAGCUUAUGGACUAAAUGACUCUUAUCAUAUAUAGAAAGAAGAAGCUUUAUAUUCUAUAAAGCAGAAAUUAAAAGGAAGUUUUCAUAAAGUAGUCAUUUUAAAAAAUUGAAUUAAAGAAAGAUGACUGGUUUCUGUCUUAAAAUCUUGCUUUAGCUGUAUCUUCUUGGGCUUCCCUGGUGGCUCAGGCAGUAAAGAAUCUGCCUGCAAUGCAGGAGACCUGGGUUCAAUCCCUGGAUUGGGAAGAUCCCCUGGAAAAGGGAAUGGCUACCCACUCCAGUAUUCUUAAGAACAAUUGAAAAAUAGUUUGUAUGUGGCAUGUAAGUGUUAAUUAUAAUUCCAUUUGUUACUUAAAUUUAUAGCAAGAUGCUAAAUGGGGAUAUAUAUUCUAUCUUCUUGGAAUUUUAGUUCAAACCUUACAGCUGAGAAAAUGGGCAAAAGACGCUUCUACUAUCUAAAAAGAAGUGCUGGACACAUGUCAACCAGACCAACUCAAAGAUAACAGAUUUGGUCAAACCUGUCUCCUACCGCCAUCGGCCUAUGUAAGAGAAACGGUCAUUGAGGAAAAGCAGCUACUGGCCUAGGCAGUUAGCAAGGUAUUUCCAACCUCCAGGCCAAGCUGUGGGUCUGAGAUGUGUUUACCCAGAUUGGGGGUGCCUGACAGGAGAGACAUUUGGCAUCUCACUCUUGGCUCUAUAUUCACUGAACUGCUGACAUUCCUGGGACCACCAAGUGCACUGAAGUGUAGGAAAUGAAGGGCAGCAAGAGGCUGAACUGGGCUUCCAUAGACUAGGGGCAUCUGUGAACGUAAAACUGGUGACUGACUUCUGUCUGGAAUACAUGGGAGGUAGGAGGAGAGCUGGCCAGUCAGUCGGU